rnacentral:rRNA from 1 species
AGCGAACGCUGGCGGCAGGCCUAACACAUGCAAGUCGAACGAAGUCUUCGGACUUAGUGGCCGACGGGUGAGUAACACGUGGGAACGUACCUUUUGGUUCGGAACAACUCAGGGAAACUUGAGCUAAUACCGGAUGAGCCCUUCGGGGGAAAGAUUUAUCGCCGAAAGAGCGGCCCGCGUUAGAUUAGCUAGUUGGUGAGGUAAAGGCUCACCAAGGCUACGAUCUAUAGCUGGUCUGAGAGGAUGAUCAGCCACACUGGGACUGAGACACGGCCCAGACUCCUACGGGAGGCAGCAGUGGGGAAUCUUGCGCAAUGGGCGAAAGCCUGACGCAGCCAUGCCGCGUGAAUGAUGAAGGUCUUAGGGUUGUAAAUUCUUUUACCAGGGACGAUAAUGACGGUACCUGGAGAAAAAGCCCCGGCUAACUUCGUGCCAGCAGCCGCAGUAACAC